UACAGAGGUCUCAAGCGUUGUUCGGAUUCAUUGGGCGUAAAGGGUGCGCAGGCUGUUGUGUAAGUCGGAUGUGAAAUCCCGGAGCUUAACUCCGGAACUGCAUUCGAUACUGCAUGACUAGAGGACUGGAGAGGAGAUUGGAAUUCACGGUGUAGCAGUGAAAUGCGUAGAUAUCGUGAGGAAGACCAGUGGCGAAGGCGAAUCUCUGGACAGAUCCUGACGCUCAUGCACGAAGGCUAGGGGAGCAAACGGG
rnacentral:rRNA from 1 species